rnacentral:lncRNA from 1 species
GCUGCCAUCUGGAUUCUGUGGGGCAAUAGAAACUGACGCCACUAGAGGCCCCCAGAAUUCUGGGGGCCUCCAACGGCCUAAAUUGCUAUUACCCCCCAGAAUUCUGGGGGGCAAUAGAUUUUACCUUAUUGUUACAUACUAUUCUCGUUCAACAGCUGAACCCUUGGUUUAUUCCACACGAUGGGCAAUUGUGAAGCAAUUGUCAAGCCCAUCUUUUUUUCUACUUCUUGCAUGGUACUGAAACUUCGGUAUGACUGGUCCUUUUCUGGGCUCACUGAGUACUCAGUGUUCUGAUAGGAAGGCAUGGUUUCUUAACGAGCAACACUUGUUUGGCAUUUUGUUUGGAUGUUGUCUUGGUGUAUGUGAAGCCUGCGACUAUUUCUUUUCUGACAGAAGACUAAUAAAGGUGUCACAUGUUCAGCUAACAAUCAAGGUGGCUGUCUGAUCCAGCAUUGCUCUGCUCAUCAAGAAAUCCCUGGGUGUAGCUCUCAAAGAUACUGUGUGUGCAAUUUUUUCAAUUAUGUUCGCACUGCAGUGUUGCACUGUUCGUAUGCAUCCUCAUCGGGUCAGCUUGUGUUUUUACCAUCAGACUGUGCGAUUUAUUUUUUCAGUCGUAUGAAAUCAAUCCCCAGCAAUCACCUGUGGGAUCACCUCUUAUCAAUCAGCAACAGCCGCAGUUUUCGAACAUUUAUUCUAAAAAUGGACAGCAUGCACAAUCAGCAGCAGCAACAUCAGACAGCCGAUAACUAUUUUUCUCCGAGUCAAGUCCACAAUAAUACCUUUACUCAGCAGCAUGAAAGAUGAAAUCCCCGCAUGCCAGUUGCCGGGCAAUAUUCAAGGAGUCCAAGUGUUACAGCAACAACAGUUGUAGGCACUGUAACUGCUGGAGGUGUUAGCUACCUCCAAUGGAUGGUAAGCAACCCACCCGAAGAUUGAUAUGACGAUGAUGCGGUUAACACUAAACAUCUAUCAACACAUACUUCAUCUUCCUCGGCACUUUGGGUGAGUAUUUAAUGUUAACGCCAGAGGUUCGUCUUC